GACGACAAGAAGAAGAAGGACGCUGGAAAGUCGGCCAAGAAAGACAAAGACCCAGUGAACAAAUCCGGGGGCAAGGCCAAAAAGAAGGAUCAUGAAAAUGAGUCUGUUGUGCGAAGUGUCUGCCGCUGUGCCUGCUGUGUUAUUUUUAACUGAUCUAGUGGGGCUCGGCCCCUGUUCUGAAGGCCAAAAA
rnacentral:sRNA from 1 species